rnacentral:rRNA from 1 species
CCUACGGGAGGCAGCAGUGAGGAAUAUUGGUCAAUGGACGAGAGUCUGAACCAGCCAAGUAGCGUGAAGGAUGACUGCCCUCUGGGUUGUACACUUCUUUUAUAUGGGAAUAAAACGUUCCACGUGUGGGAUUUUGUAUGUACCAUAUGAAUAAGGAUCGGCUAACUCCGUGCCAGCAGCCGCGGUAAUACGGAGGAUCCGAGCGUUAUCCGGCUUUAUUGGGUUUAAAGGGAGCGUAGGUGGAUUGUUAAGUCAGUUGUGAAAGUUUGCGGCUCAACCGGAAAAUUGCAGUUGAAACUGGCAGUCUUGAGUGCAGUAGAGGUGGGCGGAAGUCGUGGUGUAGCGGUGAAAUGCUUAGAUAUCACGAAGAACUCCGAUUGCGAAGGCAGUUCACUGGACUGCAACUGACACUGAGGCUCGAAAGUGUGUGUAUCAAACAGGAUUAGAUACCCCGGUAGUC